UCCCCUUUUUUAAAAUAGCAAAUAGCGUUUUGUUUAUCACAGCUUGGCCAGAGUCGUUGAGCUUGGUAAGUUGAGGGAACCAAUUUCAUUUUCUCAAAUGCAAUUUGUCAUUCAUUGUGCAAUUACAAUUUUCAAACUUUUUGUUGUUACUCAUGAGCUACUUAGAAGAAGAUUGGAGAUCUCCACACAUCUUGGAUCCAUGGACGAAUAACAUUCCCAUCUCAUAUCCCUGGUGAUGACAGCAUUUGUGAUUUCAAAAAUUUGGAAUCUUAGAGAUUUGUGUACUUCAAGUGAUCAGAUUAUCAAUACUGCAUCACUGCAGAAUGCUGUUUUCUGUGAGAACACAGAGGAACGCUCUUCCUGAGGACAAACAGAGACGAGCCAAGAAGACCUUUGAGGAGAUGAUGAACUACCUACCAGAAUCUUGAGAUGACAACACGUGACGUGACGUCGUCGGAACUGUUCACGUCCUUGGACUAUGAAG